GUGCCAGCAGCCGCGGUAAUACCGGCAGCCCAAGUGAUGGCCGAUCUUAUUGGGCCUAAAGCGUCCGUAGCUGGCCGCGCAAGUCCAUCGGAAAAUCCACCCGCCCAACGGGUGGGCGUCCGGUGGAAACUGUGUGGCUUGGGACCGGAAGGCGCGACGGGUACGUCCGGGGUAGGAGUGAAAUCCCGUAAUCCUGGACGGACCGCCGAUGGCGAAAGCACUUCGAGAAAACGGAUCCGACAGUGAGGGACGAAAGCCAGGGUCUCCAACCGGAUUAGAUGCCCUUGUAGUCC
rnacentral:rRNA from 1 species